GGAGUCCCAAGGCCUGAGCUGAAAUUCUGGAUCAACCUCUUACAAAAUGGCUGAUGGACAAAUCAUUUGCUUCUUCUAACCCGUGACAUUCUCAUCUGAAAAACAGAGGAGUGGGGUUGUUAAUCAGAUUUGUCCCUUGAGAUCUUUGAAAGGACUGCACCUGGUAAAGUUUGUACAGCACUUGGCUGAGGCAUGUAGAUGCUGGAUUGAUAUUGAUGCUGCAUUGAAUAAGCCCAAAUUGCUGCAUGAAGUGGCUUGCACUGUUAGUUUUCUACUAGAGACAUUUUUGGGGUGUUGUGGGGGGAUGGGGAUCUCCAGAACCUUGACCCAACUUUCCCAGACCCCUUUUUACCCUCCCACCCUCCAAUGCACCAAGGACAAAAAUACCUCUGCUUGAAGUCACCACAAAGAUUGCUGGAGGCACACAGAAUAUCCCUGCCAGGGCUGACAGGCAAGCCUGGUUUCUGAAAGGUGAGUUGUCCUCCUUCUGGCUGAUUCACUCAUGAUGAAUUCUCAGCUCAAGAUAGGCUUUUCUACAGAGAAGAGUGGAUGAGAAGGCAGUGAUAGUUGACUGGGCAUAGAUUAAAAAUUAAACAAACAAAGUAUCAGAGCAUAAAAGACCUUGAUAUUCAAGCAGAAGAUGCAGUCACUUUUGGGAAGAUGGUGGGGACAGGAGGAAAAGUCCACAAUACACACUCUGGAUCUCAGUGGAUCUCCUGUAUGGAAAUGUAACACUGGUGUUGUGGUCAAGAAGACCAACUCUGGAGCCCGGCAGCCUGGGUUUUGGUACUGCUUUACCAGUUACCAGUUCUGUGACAGUAACCAGCUUUCCUAUCCCCAUGUGCCUUAGUUUGCUAAUCUGCAACAACGGGUCGAUGGUACAGAUAGGGGAAUUCUCUAAAGAUUCCAUGCACACUUCUCUUUUCAUUUUGAAGCCUCUCUCACAGUCAGAAUAAGGCCAUUGAAUUUCAGGUCUUGGACAAUGAACACUAGGCAGACACUAGUCACGUCUGGUCUAGGAAGUUCUCUAUAUUCUCUUCCCCUGACUCAGUAGUCCCGGAAACCCCAUGUAGAGAUAAUAACAUCAAAAUAUGUCAAGAGACACUAUCAGCCUCAUUCUCUGUCGGGCCCAUUCUGCAUUACAGCUUUUAGAUACCACAUUCUCUUACCUCUCUGUACAGUUUGCUGGGAUUUCCGGACCUCCCAAACCAAUUGUGAGAUAGGCUCCGCAUCCAGCUCACAGCCCCAGGGGUCUCUGUAUCUCUUACCCCAGGAUCCUCUUCUUUUCAGAGUAACCAGACCCUGGAGGCAUGCGAGAGAUGGAAUGUUACCCACACGUGUGUAGAGAAGAACGACUGAAAAAGAAAAAACAAAAAUCAUGAGGGCAUCAAAAAGCUGGAUCUUAGUUUCUGUAAAUUAAACCCCUGCUUUUCUAAGCAAACACCCCCUUCCCGCUCAGGCUCAGUCCUUCUCCUCUAUCCCUCCUUCUGUGGCUGACUGGCUCUGUUGGCCACCUGCAGGUUUAAUUGAAGGUAACUAAAAUUAAGUAAGAGGUUACUUCUGAUCCGAACUCUCAGAGCCGGUUUGCCAUGCCCAGGCUGACUGCGCCUCUGAUUGCUAAGACAGCAUUUAUUCUCUUGGCACCCACUCUGCCCCUCACACUGCACCUCUCCUAGUGGUUUGCCUGAACCCCGCCAGGUGCCUCCACAGGCCUCAUCUCCGCGGAUCUCUAUUGUACUCGUGUAGUGAUACUAGAGUACAACCGGUUCCCGAUGAGUUGUCUGUUGCAGCAAUGGAACAAGUCACGCUGGUGCCUUCAACUCUAAAGUGGAUUGCAGGAUAUCACAGUAUGUACACAUUGGAGUGGGAAUUUUAAGAUGACUGCAAGAGAAGUACUUUGCCAGGGGCUGGAAGAGAUGGCAAGUGAAACGAAAGGGUGCACGGGUGUUGUAGGGUCUUCCAGUUUCCUCCAAUGAUUCUGGAGAUGCCCAUUUGGAACUGAAAGCCUCUGAUACUGUAAGGUGGAAGGGAUGAUGCUCCAAACAAGGACUGACCAGUGAUCGCACCAGCUCCUCUUAGAAGCUUCUGAGGCCUAUGGGGCCUUUCGUGGGCUGCCUCUCGUCUCCCCCCACUCUUGGCUUCUCAAUUUACUCCUUUGGAUCUUUCCAGAAACCGUCUUGGGCAGUUCUGAAACAAAGGUCACCUAGUGGCCAUAAACAAAAACAUUUUGAAAUCAUCAUUUCCCAGAAAGACUUCUGUCUUGAGUCAUUACCCUCUGCUGCUUCAUUGGAAAACCUCCGUGAUUCAUAGAUUGCUCCAAAUGGCAAAGACCAAAAUGGCUAGGGCCUGGGGCAUAUGAUCUUGCCAGCAGCAAUUCAGCACCAUCCCCCUAAACCUGGUUUAUGCCACUUUUUAGGGUCAGAACAAACUGUAGUUUGGGGUGGGCCCGAUGGGGAAAUAGGGAGAAAAGGCUGAAGCAGCAGGUAGAGUUAUUUGUAUCUUCAUCCCCCCAGCACCUGACCCUGAGAGAGAAUCCACCUAGUGUGUGCUUAGGUGAUUUCCCAGCUCAUCAUGUCCUAGAACCCCUGAUGUUUACCUUCCUGGGGUACUUGUAUGGAGCAGUCACCCUCUUCACAUGCUCCUGGAGCUCCCGAGUUAGUUUCUCUGGAUCUUGAGAGGAGUAAGUUGGAGAAAGGACUAUAAAAGCCUUCACCACCUGCCAGAAAAAAAAAUCCAAAAACAAAA